UGUCCCCUCUCUCACCGCUGCUACUACCCCUGCUCUGAAGACGCACUCUCAAGUGCCCCCAGUUGACCCCGACCUCGGACUCAGCCGGCGAUGCAGCGCACGGUUGCCGUGGAGACAGGGUAACGUGGUAUCUUUGAACCUCAACACCAGUUACAUCAGUGGGGUUUUUACCACAUCUACUGGAAUCUGCAGGGUGUACAGAUAUUGGCCUGGGUAGCAAGAAGCAGAGAGGAUGCACAACCACUUUUGAACAACUGUUAACUAGCGAGCCUGUCGACGCAGUGCUGCUGAGCCGUCGCGUUGCUGCUCUCCUGUUCGUAGAUGGCAUCUCGUUCAGUCUGGGACAGGCUGAGGAACCGGCGGAUCAUGCACAGGUUCUCCCAGAGGGUCCUGUUCUCUGGACUGGGAUCCUCCUUCCAGCGCAGCAGCUCACAGAGCCAGCCCUACAGAGGAGGAAAACACCAGCCAACCCACUGAAUGCGGUCCCUCUCCACCUCAGGGAGCUGCAGGAAGCUGUACAUGGCCCGCAGGUUGACCAGCAGGGACUGGGAGGCGUGUUUGGGGUCCUCUUCCUUACGCAGGAUCUCAGAUAGCAGGCCCUGGUAAAGGCUUGAUUGAGAUCUCUCACCCUUGAAGCAUUUGGUCUUCUUGAAGUGCUUGUACCAUCGACCAAACUCGUGACACUUGGCAGCUGAGACAUUU